CUGGAGCAUUUCCUGACUAAGCUGCCUCUCAACUAUCUCUUCUUCUUUGCAGUAUUUAUAUGACUUUUUGGUUCUAUUAUUUGACAUUGAGAACUGCAGAAUCGCUGUUGCAGGAAUAUGCUGGAACUGGAUCUUGUCAAGUGUUAAACAUUCAAGAAUUCUGCAAAGAACUCUGGAACCAGUGAUAGCUUGAAACCAGCCAUGUGAGGAGUAUUUGCACCAUGGCUAUAGACAGACACUGCAGAUCAGGUGUCUGUGCUUGCCGGUAUGCCUCUGUCCCCCUUCUGCCCUGCUUCAGCACCAGUGGCAGAUGCACCACAAUUCGGGUGAAACCUGGUUUAUCCCCAAGAAGUCGUCACAGUUGUUCUGUUGGUCUCUGCUUAAUACCACACACAUAAAACUUAGGCCAGAGGACUUGGGAGAGUGAAUGAGCGAAACAAGAAAGAAUGGAAGAAAAAACAUAAAAGUAAAGUAAGGCACGAGAGAAUUGUAUAAACUGGGGUGGGAAGGAUAAAAUUUAAACCUUUUCUGAGAAAAGAUAUAAAAGUAAAGUGAAGCAGGAGAGAAUUGUCUAAACUGGUGUGGAGAAGA